UGGCGGCACGCCUAACACAUGCAAGUCGAGCGGUAGCAUGGUUAGUAGCAAUACUAACUGAUGACGAGCGGCGGACGGGUGAGGAACACGUAGGAACCUAUCCUUGAGAGGGGGACAACCAAGGGAAACUUUGGCUAAUACCGCAUAAACUCGAAAGAGGAAAGCUGCCCGCAAGGGUGGCGCUGAAGGAGGGGCCUGCGUCCGAUUAGCUAGUUGGUAGGGUAAAAGCCUACCAAGGCGAUGAUCGGUAACUGGUCUGAGAGGACGACCAGUCACACUGGGACUGAGACACGGCCCAGACUCCUACGGGAGGCAGCAGUGGGGAAUAUUGGACAAUGGGGGCAACCCUGAUCCAGCGAUGCCGCGUGAGUGAAGAAGGCCUUCGGGUCGUAAAGCUCUUUAGGUUGGGAAGAAGGGUGGUUAGUGAAUAGCUAGCCAUUUUGACGGUACCGACAGAAUAAGCACCGGCAAACUCUGUGCCAGCAGCCGCGGUAAUACAGAAGGUGCGAGCGUUAAUCGGAAUUACUGGGCGUAAAGGGCGCG
rnacentral:rRNA from 1 species